UUUGGCACUGGCACAUUUUUGUGUUUUUAUUUUACGACAAAAAUUGUGAUAGUGUCGAGCA
rnacentral:pre_miRNA from 1 species